rnacentral:lncRNA from 1 species
UCAACAGCCACCUGCUCACCACAGUGGGAGGGAGUCAGGGUAAGAAUGAUCAGCCCAGAGGCAGGGGAGCUGAUGGUGGUCUCAGUUCUGGAGUUCUGGAUCCAGGACCACUCCUGUCUAUGAGAUGGCUCUUGUGCCUCCUCGAAGACCAACAUGGUAGCUUGGACGUUGAGUCAAAUCAGACCCUUCACAGUUCUUGAAAGUUGUUGGGAAAGAGAAGAUGAAAUGCAGACAGAGACGUGACUCUGGAAGAGAAAAGAUGUUCUUGGCGCAGUAAUGAUCUGCCAAUAGCCCUCUUUUCUUAGAGCCCAUGCCUUCCCAACUUCUUCAUCUGAUCUGCUGCUCAUCCAAGGAGUACUCUUCUAAUUUUUAAGUGACUCAAUGUCAAGUCGUGGUUGCUAGGAGCCUCCUCAGACGGUGAGUCCCAGGUUCCCUCACUUGACUUCUGCUUUAUUGCUAAGAUCAAUCACCUCCCUCAGACGUAUUUUGCAAAUAAUUAAGCCCAACCGUUUUUUCCUGGUGGCAAUAACUCUCCAGCCAAUUUUUGCUUUAAUCCCUCUAAUUCUAGGAUUCUCUCUUGUUCUUACCAGCAUCGUCACCUAACAGCAGCAGAAGACUGGGUUGUGGUCCUAAACUGCAGCCCUGAUCACUGCUUGGCAUAGAUGUUCUGGGAGGCCCAGUAUCUGCCCAGCUACCUUGCCAGACAUUUCUAGCUCUAGGAGUGAGUAUUUCUGUACUCUGCUUUCCUUCCUAUCAGUCCACCCCGGGAACCUUUUAUUAAGUAUUUCUCAUUGUACUUUCAUGCUCAACCUGAAAACAGUUCCUCAUCACCUGUACCUGCCCUUUCCCCACUCUCUGUCCUAACCUACCCAGGACCUUCCCAGUCACCUUCUCUAUGGUAAAAUGGUUACAAACUCUUGGAUGUUAUAUGACACUCAGAACGUUAGUUUUUUUUAUUUCAAGGUGUGUUAAUAUACUGGCAGU